rnacentral:lncRNA from 1 species
AAAGCCAACCACGUUCUGCAACAACUGCCCUCACUCUUCAAUCCCCUUUCGAUCGCCAGACCCACAUUGAUGUCACCUCUACCCCACAUCUCUCGCCUUCCUUCCCUAACCCUAAUCGACCCUACGAUCAAUGGUCGAUUUAAGAGAUCCUAACGAUGAACAAAAAGCGUUUGGAACAUGAUGCGGAUCAAACUGUAGAAGGAUCCAAUGCAGGUUAGAAGUCAACGUCGUCGGUUUUAUUGAAGUUUCGUAUGGGGUUCACUGCAACGAUAAAUCAGAGAAUGUGGUGCGAUUUGAUUACCAGGGAUUUUGUGUCGUUGCUUGCUGUCCCUCCCAGUUAAAAUCCACAGGAUCUCACCCCUUUGUCUAGGUCUAACAGUUUCUUUUCUAAUCAAGUUGUUCCCUAAAUUAUGUUAAUUCGAUUGCUUAGUUGAAUUCUUUGUUUACAAUCUUGUUCAAUUUCCAUAUCAGAUUGUAGCCAUAAAGUUUGUAAUGUUGAGGGGAAUAUCAUUUAUGUUUAAGAAAAAUGUUGUUGUGACUGGUGAUGUUUUGAAGAAACAAUUGAGUCAACUACUUGUCUUAUAUGGGUUAUCGCAUUGCUAUUCAUUUAUAAGAACCUAUCAGGUAAUGUCUCAAAAGUAAGGUAGGUUGGGUUUGGCUAGCUGACCCACAGUCGUUAUCCGUUUAUGUGGACUUAUAAAUAUGUGAAUAUGGAUAAUUUGUACAAGUAGAAACGAGUCAUCUUGGGUUGGGUUAGGACUUACAAGUUACUGGAUGAUGAUGACAAGAAAGUGACGGACCUAGCAGCUCUGUUAAGUCUAAAAAGACCAAUAUACAUGUGGGAUCUUUCAGAAAAAAGAGUGAAACUCAAGAAGAUGAUGAGGGAGCUAUAAAUUUGAAAGAAGAAAGACAAGUGAAACAAAAAGUUACCCAUGAUGAAUAUGAUGGUUCUAAGAAUGAAGAAGAAUAACUGGAUGACCAAACACAAGAGGAUCACAUAGAUGCCCUCCUUGACUAGAUGCUUUAUCUAGGCUAGUCGAUUGGAGGUAGAUUAGGGUUACAGGUGUGUUGCUCAGGUUUGAUUUGAUGAAGCCGCUGUUAUUUUAUUCGAUUGAUGUUUUGAAUACACAAGAUUUGUUUCAUUUAUUUAAACCUAACGUUUUAAACCCUAAUUGGAUGUUUUGUUUCGU